GAUGAACGCUGGCGGCGUGCUUAACACAUGCAAGUCGAACGGAAAGGCCCUGCUUUUGUGGGGUUCUCGUGUGGCGAGCGGGUGAGUAACACGUGAGUAACCUGCCCUUGUCUUUGGGAUAACUUCAGGAAACUGGGGAUAAUACCGGAUAGGAGCUCCUGCUACGUGGUGGGGGUUAGAAAGUUUCGGCGGUUGGGGAUGGACUCGCGGCUUAUCAGCUUGUUGGUGGGGUAGUGGCUUAGCCAGGCUUGGACGGGUAGCCGGCCUGAGAGUGUGGCCGGCCACAUGGGGACUGAGAUACGCCCCAGUCCGCUACGGGAGGCAACUGGGGGGUAUAUUGCACAAUGGGCGGAAGCCUGAUGCAGCAACGCCGCGUGCGGUAUGACGGCCUUCGGGGUGUAAACCGCUUUCGACUGUGACGAAGCGUGAGUGACGGUAAUGGGUAAAGAAGCACCGGCUAACUACGUG
rnacentral:rRNA from 1 species